AACCACAGAAGGAUGCAAGCUUGUUCUGUUUGUCAUUGCCAUGAUUGUAAACUCGAACAGUUUGUUGAGUUGUUUGUGCAUGUUCAGAUGAGUUCUCAAAUAAUUUAGGACUGAGGUUUAAAAUAUACCGUCUUAAUACUUGCAACAUAAAUAAAAUUUAACUUUGUAUUACAUCUACAUUUAAGGCGUAAAGAUGUUUUUUCUUUGUUAUCGUAGUCAGUAGUUAUCAAGUAAUGGACCACUCUCAAAUAAUCACGAAUAUUGGUUGACUUUUGGUUAGGUUUCUUUGGGAGGCCCUUCUCCUUUUGAACUUGCAAGGAGCAGUCAAGCGUCUCACUGUGAUAAACCUACGAAGUAUUCUUUCUCUCAUUUUCUUGUUUAGAAAAGUUAUCAACUAAGUGGUCGAACUCUUCGUAAACUACCAUUCCUUGCACAUGCGCUGUAUUCGAAAGCACAAACGAUAACCUCAGAAGAGUUUUUGAAUAAUCUUUCAAUGAUUGUUGACAAGCAGUUCAAA